GCGAAGAAACUUACAACAAAGAGUCCCUCCCGACUGUUUACCAAAAACACAGCACUCUGCUAACUCGUAAGAGGAUGUAUAGGGUGUGACGCCUGCCCGGUGCUCGAAGGUUAAUUGAUGGGGUUAGCAUUAGCGAAGCUCUUGAUCGAAGCCCGAGUAAACGGCGGCCGUAACUAUAACGGUCCUAAGGUAGCGAAAUUCCUUGUCGGUUAAAUACCGACCUGCAUGAAUGGCGUAACGAGAUGGGAGCUGUCUCAAAGAGGGAUCCAGUGAAAUUGUAGUGGAGGUGAAAAUUCCUCCUACCCGCGGCAAGACGGAAAGACCCCGUGGACCUUUACUACAGCUUGACACUGCUAUUUGGAUAAGAAUGUGCAGGAUAGGUGGGAGGCUUUGAGUAUAUGACGCCAGUUGUAUAUGAGCCAUUGUUGAGAUACCACUCUUUCUUAUUUGGGUAGCUAACCAGCUUGAGUUAUCCUCAAGUGGGACAAUGUCUGGUGGGUAGUUUGACUGGGGCGGUCGCCUCCCAAAUAAUAACGGAGGCUUACAAAGGUUGGCUCAGAACGGUUGGAAAUCGUUCGUAGAGUAUAAAGGUAUAAGCCAGCUUAACUGCAAGACAUACAAGUCAAGCAGAGACGAAAGUCGGUCUUAGUGAUCCGGUGGUUCUGUGUGGAAGGGCCAUCGCUCAAAGGAUAAAAGGUACCCCGGGGAUAACAGGCUGAUCUCCCCCAAGAGCUCACAUCGACGGGGAGGUUUGGCACCUCGAUGUCGGCUCAUCGCAUCCUGGGGCUGGAGCAGGUCCCAAGGGUAUGGCUGUUCGCCAUUUAAAGCGGUACGCGAGCUGGGUUCAGAACGUCGUGAGACAGUUCGGUCCCUAUCUGCCGUGGGCGUAAGAAGAUUGAAGAGAUUUGACCCUAGUACGAGAGGACCGGGUUGAACAAACCACUGGUGUAGCUGUUGUUCUGCCAAGAGCAUCGCAGCGUAGCUAAGUUUGGAAAGGAUAAACGCUGAAAGCAUCUAAGCGUGAAGCCAACUCUAAGAUGAAUCUUCUCUAAGCUCUCUAGAAGACUACUAGUUUGAUAGGCUGGGUGUGUAAUGGAUGAAAGUCCUUUAGCUGACCAGUACUAAUAGAGCGUUUGGCUUAUCUUUAAUAAAGCAU
rnacentral:rRNA from 2 species